rnacentral:lncRNA from 1 species
AAGACGAGCAGCAAAGUCAGUCCUCAGGGAAUGUGCAGGUGACCUUGGAACGGACAGCUCACGGAAGAACCCCGACCAAACCUAAGAGGAGGCGUGUAGUGGUGAUAGGGGAUUCCCUACUGAGGGGAACAGAAGCAGUGAUCUGUGGGCCUGACAGGAUGUCUCAGGAAGUGUGCUGUCUCCCCGGGGCUAAGAUCCAAGAUGUAACUGAACGACUGCAAGGAAUCAUAAAACCCACUGACAAAUACCCCUUCCUCUUGGUUCAUGUGGGAACCAAUGACACUGCAAGCAAUAGCCUCCAGAAGAUCAAAAGAGACUACGAGGCUCUGGGCAGGAAAUUGAAGCAAUUAAAUUCACAAAUUGUCAUCUCAUCUGUCCUCCCAGUUGAACGACGUGGCCCAGGGAGAGAGGGAAAAAUAGUGGAAGUGAACAGCUGGCUUCGCAAAUGGUGUAAACAGGAACGGUUUGGAUUCUUAGAUCACGGACUGCAGUUUCUUGAAGAUGGACUUCUGGCAAGCGAUGGGCCGCACCUCACAACGGUUGGGAGGAAUGUUUUUGCCAAAAAUCUCAGAAACCUCAUCAGGAGGGCUUUAAACUGACUAAUGUGGGGGAGGGAGACAGUGCUCCUGAAGGUAGGAGUCUAUCAAUUGAUGAAGAUGAUCAUCCAAAUGUCAUAGACCAAAUGAAGCAAACAGCACGCAGACCUAGUGGUGGGAGGAAAAAUCCUUAAAUAAUAGACACGGGGAAUGAUUAAUGGACUUCAAUGUCUGUACACUAAUGCGCAAAGCAUGGGAAAUAAACAAGAUGAGCUUGAGCUCUUGGUACAGCAAACUAAAUAUGACAUAAUAGGCAUCACUGAAACCUGGUGGGAUAAGUCCCACGAUUGGAAUGUAAUAAUGGAGGGAUACAAUCUAUUUCAGAGAAACAGACCAGACAAGAAAGGAGGAGGAGUGGCGUUAUAUGUCAGGGAUGUGUAUACCUGUGAAGAGAUCCAAGAUUUAGAACCUCAAAGCCAAAGUGAGAGCAUUUGGGUCAAAAUUAAGGGAGAGAAGAAUAACAGUGACCUCAUUGUGGGAGUUUACUAUAGAUCCCCAAGCCAAACGGAGGACAUAGAUGAUGCCUUCCUGGAACAGAUGACCAAGCAUGCAAAAGGAAGGGAGAUAGUAGUAAUGGGGGACUUCAAUUACCCGGAUAUUUGUUGGAUGUCAAACUCAGCCAAGAGCAUAAGGUCAAACAGAUUCCUCACUGGCCUUGCAGACAACUUCAUUGUCCAGAAAGUGGGAGAAGCAACAAGAGGAACAGCCAUUUUAGAUCUGGUCCUAACCAAUGUUGAUGACCUGGUUAGUGGGGUAGAAGUGGAAGGAUCAUUAGGCGCGAGUGAUCAUGCUCUUCUGAAGUUUACUAUACAAUGGAAAGGAGCAGCCAAGCAUACUAGGACUCAAUUUCUUGACUUUAAGAAAGCCGACUUCAUAAAACUUAGGGAAGUGCUGGGUGAGAUCCCAUGGGCAGUAAUACUAAAAGGAAAGGGAGUUCAUGAUGGCUGGGAGUUUGUUAAGAGGGAGAUAGUAAAAGCACAACUUCAGGCAAUACCAAUGAGACGGAAACAUGGAAGGUGCCUAAAGAAGCCAAGGUGGCUAUCCAAAGAACUUUUAACUGAGUUAAGAUUAAAAAAGGAUGUGUAC